ensembl:lncRNA
UUUCUGUCUUACUUAGGGUUUUAUUGCUGUGAACAGACAGACAAUGUAAGUUUUAAGAAGGACAACAUUUAAUUGGGGCUGGCUUACAGGUUCAGAGGUUCAGUCUAUUAUCAUCAAGGCAGGAGCACGGCAGCAUCCAGGCAGGCAUGGUGCAGGAGAAGUUGAGUUCUAUAUCUUCACCCGAAGGAAGCCAGGAACAGACUCUCUGCUACUGUAGCCAGGAAAUGUGGAUCCCAUCUUAUGAUUGACUAACACACUGGGAUGAAGGCUAGAACUUCAUAGGUCAUGGCAUGAACCAGAUAAAAUAAGACAAGGGGAUAAAUUCUCAGUGGCCUCAUUGGUGACUUCCGUUCCCUAUACCCAGCCUUUGCAGAGGAAUACUGCCCUCUUUCUACAGAGGCAGCUGGAGUGGGGAGGGCGGGGAUGAAAAGGGAGGGAGACUGACAGAAGCAGGAUCAUGUGCACAGUCCUCAUUGUCCUGCUUAGUCCCUAUAAUACACUCCCUGGAGAGAAGACCAGCACAGCUCAGGAGCAGGGCACAUGAACACUGCCCAGGCAUCAUCAGUGAGUCAGUUGUGCUAGCUGGUCGUUGUUCUUUGAGUGAACCAAACUUUAGUGGCUUAGUUUAUUUUGCCUGUGAUUUUGCAGCUCUUUCUUGAAGUCUUUAAAUUAGUUGCGAUCAGAUGCUGCCAUUCGAAGGUUUAUGUGGGCCAGACAUCCAAAAUGACUCACCAUGUAGCUGACAUGUGACACUGGCUGCUGGCUACCUGGAAACUCAGCCCUUCCAACACGGCAAACUUUUGACCUGGCCAUUGACUUUCCCCAACAUGAGACUCUGAAAGGAGCCAGGCUUGUGUCCUCUUCAGCCCUGUCCUUGGAAGUCAGCUACUAAGCAAAGAACCCGAAGUACCCUUUGAAAAGAUCACUUGGAGGAGGGGGCCUGAGCCUACAGCCUCAGAUAGUUGUCCAGCAUAUGCAUGAGGUCCUCUUGGACAAUCCCGACCCACUCAAGCUUUAGAUGACAACAGUUGAAGGAGUUAUGCUAGAGCCACAGGUGCUCAGGUUGACUCUUCACUACGUAUUAUCUGCACUACCCCACGAUGAUAAGUCAGCUUUUCCAUUGCUCAUCUCUCUGUCUGGACCUGAGGAUGUAAUGUUCACUUGCUAAUCUGUUAAAUGGAGAUACAGGAAUCUGUUCCACAGGGCUGCGAUGAAACCAAUGAGUUAAUGCACACGAAGUGUUUGAAAUGGCAUCUGACUCAUGCUAAAUGCUUAGCAGGCUCCCAGUUCCCAUAGGCCACCCAACCCCCACCCCACGUGACCGGAUCCUAAUUUCAGACCCAACAGCUGAUAGAGGUGAGAUAGAUCUUCUGACCACGUCCUUUCUCUGAAAACCUGAAUGAGCUGGAGAUGAGCAAAUGGAGAGGAGGGAAAGAAGGAGACUUUAUGUGAUUGCAUGUGCAUAUUCUGUGCAGAAGUGGUCUUCAUGUGGGUGGCAAGAAAAGGCACUGAGCAAACAUGAAGGGCAAAAGAGAAGAUGCUAAAGAGGAGAAGAGGAGCUCCAGAGGCGAAGUCUAGCCUGGCCUCAGCUCAGCCCGCUUUUCACUUCUCAGGAUAACAAACAUCACAUCUCUGUUAUAAUCCCGUUCUCCUCCUGUGGAGGGUGGAGUGAGAAUGGCCCCAUAGUCUCCUGUAUUGUCACAUGCUUCUUUCCCAGCUGGGGAACUGUUGGGAAGGAUAAGGAAGUGUGGUCCUGUUGGAGAACGUGCAUCACUGGAAGUGGGCUUCGAGGUUUCAAAAGUCCACACCCAGCCUAGUCUCUCUCACUUUGCCUACUGCCUUUGGAUCAAGGUGUAAGCUCUUGGCCCCAUGCAUGUUUACUUUCUGUCAUGAUGAUCAUGGAUGAACCCUCUGACUGUAAGCAAGCCUCCAAGUAAGUGCUUUCUUGUCUAAGAGGUGCCUUCGUCUGCUGUCUCCUUGCAGCAGUAGAACACUAAGACACCUCCUCGUGUGAAUUUCCUUCUGAGUCAUGAGUCUACAGAAGGCAGCAUUAUAAAAAUACUCUCCAGGGUUACUACCAUCCU